rnacentral:misc_RNA from 1 species
UCCGGCUUAUCACCGGCAGUCCCACUAGAGUGCCCAACUAAAUGAUGGCAACUAAUGGCGAGGGUUGUGCUCGUUGCGGGACUUAACCCAACAUCUCACGACACGAGCUGACGACAGCCAUGCACCACCUGUGAACGCCCCCGAAGGACACCACAUCUCUGCGGUUUUAGCGCCCAUGUCAAACCCAGGUAAGGUUCUUCGCGUUGCAUCGAAUUAAUCCGCAUGCUCCGCCGCUUGUGCGGGCCCCCGUCAAUUUCUUUGAGUUUUAACCUUGCGGCCGUACUCCCCAGGCGGAUGACUUAACGCGUUAGCUGCGCCACCGGAACGCUAAACGCCCCGACAGCUAGUCAUCAUCGUUUACGGCGUGGACUAC